rnacentral:rRNA from 1 species
CCUACGGGCGGCAGCAGUGGGGAAUAUUGGACAAUGGGCGAAAGCCUGAUCCAGCCAUGCCGCGUGUGUGAAGAAGGCCUUCGGGUUGUAAAGCACUUUCAGUGGGGAAGAAAGCCUUGGGGCUAAUGCCCUCGAGGAAGGACAUCACCCACAGAAGAAGCACCGGCUAACUCCGUGCCAGCAGCCGCGGUAAUACGGAGGGUGCGAGCGUUAAUCGGAAUUACUGGGCGUAAAGCGCGCGUAGGCGGUCUGAUAAGCCGGUUGUGAAAGCCCCGGGCUCAACCUGGGAACGGCAUCCGGAACUGUCAGGCUAGAGUGCAGGAGAGGAAGGUAGAAUUCCCGGUGUAGCGGUGAAAUGCGUAGAGAUCGGGAGGAAUACCAGUGGCGAAGGCGGCCUUCUGGACUGACACUGACGCUGAGGUGCGAAAGCGUGGGUAGCAAACAGGAUUAGAUACCCUUGUAGUC